UGAAUCCAUUCCCAGCCUCACUGCCAGCUCCUGAGACAAAGCCCACGUCAUUCCUUCCCUAGAUUAAUCUCACCAGGAGUCUCAUGAUGGAUCCUCUGCCCCAGGCCAAAUUCCCUUGACAUCCAUCUCCACCUGACCGCCAGAAGUAUCUUUCCAAACAUGGGUCACCAUGCAUGUUUCAGCUUAAAAUCUGCCCAUGAGUCCUCUUUUCCACCAGUGCUGAAAUCAAGCUCCCCUAAAAUGAUUCACGAGGACAUCACACCAGGUGCCCCUCGGAACAGAUGCUCAGCCGAGACGGUUGUGUCGCAGACACCUGGGAGGAGAGGGACUGCAGGUUCCUCAACUCCCUGUGAAAAAAGCAUGCAGACUGUGGAGCUGCCACUUCCCAUGAUCUCAGAGACUUCAUAUGCAUCCAGAUUUGAAAAAUAUCAUUUAUUUAUUCAACGGUAUUCAUCUAUUUUCUUGGCCCUUUCAAGAGAAGCUUUAAGUGUCUGCCCUGACAUCUUUUCCUCACCUCCUGACAAAUAACUAAAAGAACAAAAGCAAGCCUACUGCAAGACGACCUCUUGAAACUUCCCAUCCAGUCACUAGGUUCCCUGCCAGGUAACUUCUGAAGCUACUUUUACCUCCCUUUUCUCAUGGGCCUAGGGGAACUAGUGGAUCAUUA
rnacentral:lncRNA from 1 species